rnacentral:tRNA from 2 species
GCCUGGGUGGCUCAGUCGGUUGAGCAUCUAACUUCAGCUCAGGUCAUGAUCUCAUGGUUUGUGGGUUCGAGCCCCACGUCAGGCU